GGAAAGCUGACUGCUCAACACUUCUGAAAGCACCUGGCCGAGCUGUCCUGCUCCGAGUGUCCAAGGAACCAGAAGCCAACAUGAGUCAACGCUCUGGGAAACAUCGGCCUGCCAAGGUCACAUAAAAAUCUAUUUCUUCUGUGUGUGUCUGAAGAUCCUGAACAGAGUCAAUCCCCACUAACCAAGCAAAUGGAGAGAGCAGAUAGCCCAGAUACAGCCAAACUCAGAAGAGUAAAAAACAGGCUGAAGGAAAUGGUACCUGCAAUUGCUAUGCUGAAGGAGUGCUGUUCCAUCCCAAGGCAGCCCAGAGCAGAGCUGUGGUCCAAGCAAAGGGGAAAGUCAAGCACAAGCAGAGGCAUAAGAGGAGGAUGUUUUGGUGGCUCUGAUGAGAGAGGAAUGCCCUAGUGCAAGCUGCAAUUUGGGUCACAGUGUGGUAAGAGAAGAAGAUACAAAGCCUCAGAUGGCUGGAGGACAGUGUUUGGCAAGAGCCUGGGAGAUCCACCUAGAAAAAUCUGAAUCUAAGACAAAGGAAACCCAUGAUUCAAUUUCAAGAUGUGUCAGGUCAGCCACGAAGAUAGAUACAGACAGAGAGGAGGAGAGGUGAGAAUGCACUUCCUUUGCUUUUAAAAGAAAGGCCAGAGAAGAAGAAAAUCCACUAAAUGUAACAGCCAGUGAAAUAAGUAAAGUAUUUGGGAGGUUAUUUUCUUGGUAACAAGCUAAUGUAAAUAGAUCUUUGUAUUAGGUCAUAAAUGUGACUUCCACAAAGAUGUAAGUGAACUCCCCUCAUUCAAAGGCUGCUGUGGGCUGGACAUUUCCAUGGAAUUCCCUCCCUGGACCCUCCACUGUUUCCUGUCAGGCCUUCACACAGCAGGGCAGUCCCACUCCUGACAAUGAGUAAGGCUCAGGACUAUUGUAACCAAAAACCAAAAUGUGUUUCCAUUAAAAAAAUCUGGCUGAUAGCAAUUAAU